GGAAUCUGGGCCACAUGUGCGUUAGCAUUGUCUCUGGAAGCCAGAGGUACAAACAAUCGCAUCUACAUUGCCACGCCCCUGGGCACCAGCUAGAGGUCUUCUCAUGUUAUCAAUGUCCCUACUGCAUGGCUGUCAUCUGAGAGUCCCCAAGAACUAGCUAAUGCUCUCCAACCUGCUUAUAUCAUCUUUCCGAAAGAGUCCUCUGCAACAGGCUUUUCUUUGUUUUUCCCAAUAAACAUUAAAACAGUAUUUCAGUCAAUGAGAUCUGAGGUCAUGCUAUGUGUGCAAGACACCCAGAAGACAUAAUUUUCAAAAACUCAAAUUCAUUUGGAGCCAGUGAACUCGUAUUCACAUGACUUGAAGUUGUCUUCAGGUUAAGCUGACAUAUACACACUUAUGAGUUACAAAUUAUUAAUAUAGUAUAGUCUUUUACUGAAGAAGGUAACUGAGUUCAAAGUUGUCCUAAAAGUGUCAAGGUUGAAGAAAAUAUUGAUGUAGAUGAAAGAAAAUGGAGAAGCAUGGUAUUUAAAAACAUAUGGAGUUGAGCUGGAGUAAUGUCUUUAAUAAGGAUGGAAGUUAGACUAAGAGAAUUCGGAAUGGAAGUUCAUUUUUCCAUCAGGCUUGAAACAAAAAUUUAGCCUAAUGCAUCACUACAUCCAUGUCAACCAGCUUAGUGCUAGGCACAGAGCAGGUGUGCAAUAAAUGUCUCACCCACAACUGAUGCAUGAAAAAUGAAGUGUUGCAAGAUCAAACAGACCAAGUAAAAAUUAACUAGUGCAUUUCUAACCUUCCUCUAGUUUGGUUUAAAAUUUUGUAUCUUCUUGACUUUUUGACAGGGCUGAGUGGCCAAAUGGAAAGACACACCUGUGUUGAUUAUUAUUUAAUGCACCCCUGUAAUGGUCUACUUGGCACGUGAGGGUUGUGAGAAUCAGUUGCUGAAGGAAGGCUCCCAUUUGUCCUCUGCUACUCAGAACUUGUGCAAAAUGUGGCUUAUUGUCAUGACAAAGACACUGUCAGGCCAAGCCUUGUCAGCGUUCCUGAGAUGCCAGGCCACCUGUCAGUGUGUUUGGGAGGGGCAGACCACUGCCAUGCAUUCCAGCACACCUCACAAGCACUCCCCUUAUCUACAAGACGGCUUCGCAGAAAACUGGCUAGUUCAAUGA
ensembl:lncRNA